rnacentral:rRNA from 1 species
UACGGAGGGUGCAAGCGUUAUCCGGAUUUACUGGGUUUAAAGGGUGCGUAGGUGGAUUUGUAAGUCAGUGGUGAAAUCUCCGAGCUUAACUCGGAAACUGCCAUUGAUACUAUAAGUCUUGAAUUAUCUGGAGGUAAGCGGAAUAUGUCAUGUAGCGGUGAAAUGCUUAGAUAUGACAUAGAACACCAAUUGCGAAGGCAGCUUACUACGGAUAUAUUGACACUGAGGCACGAAAGCGUGGGGAUCAAACAGG